UUUUUUUUAAAAAAAAAAAAUGGUAUCUCUAUCAAGAGGGUACCUUUUUCUCCAAUAAAUUACUCAUUUUUCAUCCUCUUUCUAAUAAAUUCUUCUUCAUCUUCUCUUUUUUCUCACAUACAUGUACGAACAAGUGUAUGCACACAUGAACAAAAGGAUUAAAUCCUCGCCAUUUAAGACGUUAUACCGCUUGAUUAUGAAAUGUUUACUUGUACAGAUAUAAUCUAGAUUUUAAAAGAUCAAAUCACAGUUUAAUGAACAAAGCAUUAACUAUUUGGCCCCAGAGUAAAAUUUCCCAUAGAUUACCCUUGCAUAAAAAUGAUGAGUUGGUAUGAGAUUAGAUAAACUAGUAAUAGUUCAUAGUAGAUAU
rnacentral:misc_RNA from 1 species